rnacentral:lncRNA from 1 species
UUUUUUUUCCUACGCCCCCGCUCUAGAGGUCAAAGACAAUGCUCGGGGCACUGAAGAUGUACAAAAAAGCAUGUGAGUCUUUUUUAUAUUACCACUUAUCGAUGUUGAGUAUAUCAGCUUAAAAGCUACAUCCUUCUCCUAUUGAGUUGGAGUAGCCUUUUAUUGUUUUCAUUCUAGCUUAUCACUCAUAGCCAAAAUUUUAAAUUUUAAAAAUUAAAUUUAGACAGUUAAUUUCGAGUUAUUUUAUCGAAGUUUUUAGCAUCUACUUUUAAAAUCGCUAGAAAUCUUAACUAAUUAAAAUAUUCGUAAUUUUCCGUUCGCCACAAGACGGAUGAAGGCGCCUUCGUCCGUCGGCGGUGCGCCUUCGCAGCCCCCAAAUCCCAAUCGCUCUUAGAAUUGGAUACAGGGAAAUACUUUCUAAAAUCGGCGCAACCAAAACUCAACCACUCUGUCACAAAAAAUCAACCACAAUCAUCAUAAAAUCACAAAAUACAUCACAAAACUUCACAAAAAUAUACAUAAAAAAAGAAGAACAACAACAUACAUCACAAAACAUCACUUGCCUGCUGCCGGAUCCACCCUCGGCCAUCGCCACCGCGGCCCUCGGCCGUUGCCACCGCCGCACUCGGCCGUCGCCAUCGCCACCCGAUCCAUCCGCGGUAGCCGCCGACGCCACCACCGCUGCCGGAGGGAGAAGAGAGGCGGCGGAGGGAGCCGCCGCUCCUUAUCCGCCCACGGACGCCGCCACCGUCACUGGAUCUGCUGCGGGAGGAAGACGAGAGGGGACGGAGGGAGCCGCCGCAGCUAGAUCUGCCUGUGGCCACCGCCGGCGGAUCUGCCACGGGAGGAAGGCUAGAGGGAGUGGAGGGAGCCCACCGCCACAACCCUCGGAUCCGCCUGCGGCCGCCGCCAACUCUCCGCCAUCGCCGCUGUAUCCACCGCGGAAGGGAGGCGAGACAGGGCGGAGGGAGCGGCCGCCGGCUAGGGAGGUGAGAUGGGGCGGAGAGAGCUGCUGUCGCCGUCCCCGCCGCUCGCGGGAAGGGGGGAAGGGCACACUACAACCACUCGGGGGGAGGGGGUGGAGGGCGCUACCACCGCUGCUCGGUGGGGGAGGUCGCCACCGCCGUCGUCGGUUUUCGAUUGAUCGAGAGAGAGAGAGGAUCGGGGGCGGGAAGGGUGGAAAAGAAUUUUAGGAUUAGGGUUUUUGCUGCAGACAUUUAUAUUGGUUGUGAUCAAUCUAGACCGUCCAUUCGAUCGAACGGCUCCAGCUUCUCGCGCAUCGGGCCACCGGACUAUUGGGCCUCCGCAUUAUUGGGCCUACAAAUGGGCCGCAAUUAAAAUAAAUGUUUUCUCUCUCAGUAAUUUUAAGCAACUUUCUAUUUUCAAAAAUAGCACCAUUUUAAUUAUUUAUGACUGCUUAUUAAUUUAAUUCCAACUAAAUUGAAUAAACUAGAACAUUGGCUAGAUUUUUCUCAUGAUAUGGAUUUAUUUUUCGACUAAAAAUGUAAUUAUUUAUUUGUCAUGAUAUAGAAUUUAAAUUUAGACUAAAAUUAAAUAAUUUUAAUUUUUAAUUCUAUAUGGACUCUAUUCUUCUUCCAAUAUUCCUAUUUUUUUAUUGUUCUAAUUAGUUUCUAUAUGAACUCUAAACUCUUCUUUCAAUAUUUUUAUUUUAAAUUUUAAUUAUUUUUCUAAAUUGUAUUCCUAUAUGCACUCUAGGCUCUUUUGGAGAAUAUUCUAGACUCCUCAUCCAAUAUUAUUUAUUUUAUAAUUUAUACUUUAUAUUAAGUCGUAUUAUUUAUAUAGACAGAUUAAUCUAUCCAGUGUAGGGUUUUUUUUUGCAAAAAGAUUUGUUUUAUGUAGAUAUCCGAUUGGACAACGUGAUUUUUUUUAAAAAAAACAAAAUGAAAGAGUCCUGGUCUACAAUGAGUUCUCCUUAUUUUUUUAUAUUUUACUCCAAUUAAUAUGAGAAUUUCUAUUUGAGACUUUUCUAGCAAGCAAAAAUACCAAAGCAGUGUGAAAAUAACUUCGGUUAAAAACAAAUAUUUUUAGUGUUAUUACACCGUAGCGAAGCACAUGCAUUUUGCUAGUACAAAUAUAAACUUUUUACCCAUAGUUAUUUGGUUCCUUUUUUUUGCCUCAUCGCAGGGAGAGAACGACGAGGCCGUUAGUUUUGUGAUCUAACGGCGACGAUGCAAUUAUGAUAACUAGUAUGGUGGCCCGCGCAGAUUGCGCGGCUAGCAUCAUUAUAUUUUCUCUCAUAUAAUAGCAUAUAUGUUUUCUCAUUAUAUUAUUAAAAUAUAUUACAAUGACAACAUAAUUUUAAAUUUUGCAAUAACUUUACGAAACUACUAAUGUGUAAUAUUCAUAUUGUAUUUUAUAUACAUGUUAGUUAUUAAUUAUUUUUAAUAUCAAAUUUUAGUUAUUUGUGAAUUAUAUAUAUUCCUAUAUGGACUUUAGAAUCGUAUUUUAAUAUUUCUUUUUUUAAUUCUAAAUGUUUAUUAUUUCUAAUUGUAUUUCUAUGUGGACUCUAAACUUAUCUUUAAAUAUUCUUUAAUUUUUAAUUUCAAAUUUCACUUACUUCUAAACUGUAUUCCUAUAUUGGCUUUAAACUCUUCUUCCCAUGUUUUUCUUAAUUUCAAAUUUUAGUUAUUUGUAAAAUAUAUUUUUAUAUGGACUCUAAACACUACUUUUCAUUUUAUUAUGUUUAUUCCGAAUUUUAGUUAGUUUUAAAUUCUUAUAUGGACUCUAUACUCUACUUCUAAUAUUCCUUAUUUUUAAUUCUGAAUUUCUAUUUUUUUCUUAAUUGUAUUUCUAUAAGGACUCUAAACACUACUUUUCAUUUUAUUAUGUUUAAUCCGAAUUUUAGUUAGUUUUAAAUUCAUAUAUGGACUCUAUACUCUACUUCUAAUAUUCCUUAUUUUUAAUUCCGAAUUUCUUUUUUUUUCGUAAUUGUAUUUCUACAUGGACUCUAUACUCUACUUCUAAUAUUUCUUAUUUUUAAUUCCGAAUUUCAGUUAUUUCCUAAUUGUAUUUCUAUAUGGACUCUAGUCUCCUCUUCUAAUAUUUCUUAUUUUUUUAAUUCCGAAUUUUAACUAUUUCUAAAUUGUAUUUCUAUAUGAACUCUAGUCUCAUCUUCUAAUAUUCCUUAUUUUUUAAUUCUGAAUUUCAACUAUUUCUAAAUUGUAUUUCUAUAUAAACUCAUCUUUCAAUAUUCUUUAAUUUUUAAUUUCAAAUUUCAGUUACUUCUAAAUUGUAUUUCUAUAUUGACUUUAAACUCUUCUUCCCAUGUUUUUCUUAAUUUCGAAUUUUAGUUAUUUAUAAAUUGUAUUUUUAUACGGACUCUAAACUCUACUUUUAAUUUUAUUAUGUUUAUUCCGAAUUUUAGUUAGUUUAAAAUUCCUAUAUGGACUCUAUACUCUACUUCUAAUAUUCCUUAUUUUUAAUUCUGAAUUUCAGUUAUUUCCUAAUUGUAUUUCUAUAUGGACUCUAGUCUCCUCUUCUAAUAUUCUUUAUUUUUUAAUUCCGAAUUUCAACUAUUUCUAAAUUGUAUUUCUAUAUGAACUCUAGUCUCCUCUUCUAAUAUUCCUUAUUUUUUAAUUCCGAAUUCCAGCUAUUUCUAAAUUAUAUUUCUGUAUAAAUUCAUCUUUCAAUAUUCUUUAAUUUUUAAUUUCAAAUUUCUGUUAAUUUUAAAUUGUAUUUCUAUAUUGACUUUAAACUCUUCUUCCCAUGUUUUUCUUAAUUUGGAAUUUUAGUUAUUUGUAAAUUGUAUUUUUAUACGGACUCUAAACUCUACUUUUAUUUUUAUUAUGUUUAUUCUGAAUUUUAGUUAGUUUUAAAUUCCUAUAUGGACUCUAUACUCUACUUCUAAUAUUCCUUAUUUUUUAAUUCCGAAUUUUUAUUUUUUUUCUUAAUUGUAUUUUUAUAUGGACUCUAUACUCUACUUCUAAUAUUCCUUAUUUUUAAUUCCGAAUUUCUAUUAUUUCCUAAUUGUAUUUCUAUAUGAACUCUAUACUCUACUUCUAAUAUCCCUUAUUUUUUAAUUCCGAAUUUCAAUUCUUUUUGACUGAAAUUGCGAAUUUCAGUUAUUUCCUAAUUGUAUUUCUAUAUGGACUCUAGUCUCCUCUUCUAAUAUUCCUUAUUUUUUUAUUCCGAAUUUCAGCUAUUUCUAAAUUGUAUUUCUAUAUGGACUCUGCUUUUUUUCUUUUUCUCCGAUUAAUGCGAGAAUUUCUAGGUCAUGAGAGCGAACAUGGAGGCUCCUUUUUAUUCCGAAUUUUAGUUAGUUUUAAAUUCCUAUAUGGACUCUAUACUCUACUUCUAAUAUUCCUUAUUUUUUAAUUCCGAAUUUCUAUUUUUUCUUAAUUGUAUUUCUAUAUGAUCUCUAUACUCUACUUCUAAUAUUCCUUAUUUUUAAUUCUGAAUUUCUAUUAUUUCCUAAUUGUAUUUCUAUAUGGACUCUAUACUCUACUUCUAAUAUUCCUUAUUUUUAAUUCCGAAUUUCAGUUAUUUUCUAAUUGUAUUUCUAUAUGGACUCUAGUCUCCUCUUCUAAUAUUCCUUAUUUUUUAAUUCCGAAUUUCAAUUAUUUCUAAAUUGUAUUUCUAUAUGGACUCUAGUCUCCUCUUCUAAUAUUCCUUAUUUUUUUAAUUCCGAAUUUCAGCUAUUUCUAAAUUGUAUUUCUAUAUGAACUCUGUUUUUUUUCUUUUUCUCCGAUUAAUAUGAGAAUUUCUAGGCCAUGAGAACGAACGUGGAGGCUCCUUUUUCUAUUCCUUUAAUAAUAUAAUAGAUUUUUUUAAGAAAAAUGCUCGUGUUAUACGUGAUCUGAGAUACACUUGAUACGUAAGUGGUGUGUGGUUUAAAUUCUGAGAUCCCGUGUUGAAUUUUCAACACGCUCGUAAGUUCUUCUAAAAAAAUAUUUGAAGUGACGUCUCUCUCCAAACCUUUUUUUUUUUGGUGGGGUUUAGACAGGAUCUGAACCGGACCUGUACAAGUUGAACCUGAUGAGACGAGAUACUAUGCAUGCAUAUAAACAUUACACGAUCCUAAUCCCACCAAGGAGAAAAAACCGAUCCUUGGCGAGGCAGAUCCUGACAUAUCCUUGUCCUCCCGACCACCACAGUUGAUCGUAGCCACCCUGGCGUGCGUGCAUAGCCAGUUUAGCCACACGAAACUGUAGCUCUCUCGACCCAAAUUCCCCGAACCCACCUACUAGCUACUCCUGCACUGCAACAGCAAAUGCAAGGAGAAAAGCACCGAGCCAGCCGAUGAGACUCGGUGACCGUGCCCCGGCGCCGACCGCCGCGUGUGCGUGUUCGCCCAGGCAAAAGACACAGCGCAAUUGCGCGCACUCUCUUUCGCAGGCCGCGCCGCCGCCGCCGCUUCGCUUUGCAAUUGCAUGCGCCCUUUUGCCGACGCCGCCUAGCUUAUCAUUAUCCUUCCUCGUCGGCCGCGGUUUUCACCGUCCUCUCUCAGCUCCCCUCGUGUUUUCACCGAGCGACGCACUCGUAAAAAUACAUCAAAGAACGCCGCGGUAAAAGCUACGCACCCCGUACGUACGUAAAAAAGUGGGUGGUAAAAAAAAAGGAUGGGUUGGUGUACUGGUCUCUGCGUACGUGAAAAGACUAGCUAUCGAUGCGUGUAUCUCUGUGCGUGCGCGAACGGAAGAGGGGAGCAGCAGCGAGAGGCUUUAGCUAGUCUCGCCUUUUUCUUUUUCCCGGCUUUAUAUAAGGCUCACUCGCUCACACUCACUCACUUGUGUCUAGUUUACACCGAUCAGUAGUAGUGCUACUACCACUUUGGGUCGGAUCGAGCUUGUUGUUGCCUGCAAAUCUGCAAAUAAUCUUAGCUCCUUCAGCUAAAGAGCAAGCAACGGCUACUAGCUUCCCUCAACGCCCUCGUCGCUUGCCUCACCGUCACCGUCGUCACUCGUCAUUCACCAACACUCGUCAGGUACGCUUCUCGCAGCUUGUAGUAUGGAUAUGUGCUGCAGUGUUUAGCUUCUACUGGUGUGAUGAUUAAUUUCUUGGGCUUCUUCCGAUCCUGUGACGAAGUCGCUUGUGAUAAUUUGGGGCUUAUUCAGCUCAGACGACCAGAUGCAAAGCCUGAAAGUCUGUCGUCUGCUAAGCCUGUAGCCGUAGCACGUCGUCUUCUCGUGAGCCUCUGGUUGGAUGGAACCUUGGAGAGGAGAUGGAAGUAUGGUAGUAGUGUCGUACCAGUACUUGUGCCUGCUGCUGCUCGCUGCACAUUGAGCUGCGUGGCGUAUGCGCCGCGCAUUUUGCUGCCUUUGCAAAAUGCUCGCCGAUGCAUAUGCAUAUGGUCUCGUUCUCCUCUUCUUUCGCUCGCUGCUCUUUUGAGGAGAGAGACACAAGCGAGGCCGGCUUUCUUUUGCCCCCAAAGCUGCGUGGCCAUGGCGUGCAGCCAAACGCUUCACAUCUCUCUUUUCUCUCUCUUUGGCACUGUCGAGAUACCAGUCACGCAUCACGGCCAUGUACGAACACGUCUCCUCCUCUGCAGCAAACCUGCUCUUCUUUCUCUCUCUAUCUAUCCAACGCUAUCAAACUGUAGCCGUAGGCCUCUGGCGAGGCAUUAAAUGCAAGCGAGGCAUUAAAACGCAGGCACAGCUCAUGAUUGCGUCGCUUGUUGGUUUCCUCCUCGUCGUGUUCCAAGCUUCGACCUGCAAGCUCGGACGGACGACUUGCCUUCUUGCCGUCGCAAAAGGGUGCCCUAAAAACUGAUCCUCGGUCCUUUCCAUGUCACCCACGACGAAGAACAACAUUGCUCGCACAGCGUAGGAGUAGCUACCAUUCCUUGUCCUGUCAUGGAACAUCACCGAGGAAAAAACGAGUAAUUUAUGUCUACUACAGAAUCUUGGCUGGCUGAUUUCUAUAGCUACCUGGACAGCGCAUUUUCGAGUACUAGUAUAGGAGUAUAGUACUCUAUGAUUUUGUGGAUAGUAGCUUUUUGCAUGUUUGGGUGUGUUUAGUUCACGUUAAAAUUGAAAAUUUGGUUGAAAUUAAAAUGAUGUGAUGGAAAAUUUAAAAGUUUAUGUAUGUACGAAAGUUUUGAUGUGGUUAAAAAAUUGAAAGUUUGAAAAAAAAUUUUGGACUAAACAAGGCCUUUGUAUCUUUAUUUUACAAACUUUGUGCUGUUGGAGUAGUACUAGACUACUAGUAGGAGUAACUUUGUAUUGAUAAUACUAGGAGAUGAACGUACUUGUAGGUAAUGGUACUAACAGACUACGAAAGAUUCCAACAGCAUCUAUAUAUGAAAAAGGGGAACAAAGGAGAAUUCUGAAAAAAGAAAAGCACGCAACUCCUCUCUUUGAUUUUUUUGCUUUUGUCCAUCCAUGCAUCAGCCAACGGUUAAAAAACCCCGUCGUUGCAUCAUGGGUCCGCAGCACCAAAAGCCCCUCAUCCUCCUCCCCCUUUUGCAGAGCAUUUCUUCCCUUUUCCCCCAGCAACGAGGGUAAAAGCAAGCUAGUAUCCUACUAUGGUCUACUCCAGCCAGGCUACCACUGCCAUCCUGCAUGUCUCCCGUCCGUCGAUCGUGCCAUCAUCCGCCUGCAGCGUCACGCGAGUCGGGUUCGCCGUGACGACGACGACGACGAGAGAUCAUAAUAGUAGAUGGAAGACUACCACCAGCGGUAGCAUAGCUAUAAUAGUAACUUCUUCAUCAUUUACAGUUAAUUUAAUAGUCAAUAGUCAAUUCAUAUAAUAGUUAUCUAUAAAUAUAUACUAUUUCUACCUGUUAUACACAUAUUGUGUCUUGUAAUCCGUACUAUAGCCUAUUGCUUAUCUCUCUUUCUUCACUGUGUUUAUAGCUGGCUUAUAGUUUAAGAACGGUGGUGAAAUGCUAGAAAAGUUACUAUAGGACUAAUCUCGCCUUUGCUCCAAAAAAGAGGGGCAGAAAGACCGGGGCGUGCUCGUGCUGGACCAUCCGCCGCUCUCGCGCGGGACCAAACCAACCAACCAGCCGCGCGCGCGCGCGCGAGCCCGGCAGCCGAGCUAGCUAGCCACGCCCACCAAUUCCACCGUGCACGCGCGCGCAUGCGUGCAUGCUCGCGAGAACGGUCGGGUCGGGCCCUCGGCGUGGGAUCGAGUUGUUUGGUUGCCUUUCCCGUGCUCGAUAGAUAGCGCCGGACGACGACGACGACGUCUUUCUGGUCUUUUUGGGUGCACACACGCACCCGUUUGCACGUCGCGUCGCUGUCCCUCGCUGCCACUUCGGCUAAAAGUCGUGCGACGACGGGGAUCAUAUCCGUGUGUGUUUGCGUUCGGUUCGACACGUGACACGGCUGUUGUGUUUGAUUGUCUCGUAUGUACUAUAUUUUUCACCUCCCUGAAGAAAAAAAAUGGGAAAACUGAGAUUAGUAGGGGAAGGAGUUUUUUUUUUAAUCUUGUGGGUGGCCUUUGUGCAUGCGAUGCGAUUCGCACCGAAUCUUGUCUGGUCAGGUAGCGGCGUCACGUACCCAUGUUACGUCCUUUCCAGCUUCAACGCCGCCAUGAUUGCACUCAGUCGCAGCAGCCGCGCGUGCUCGGCUGCGCCGUCAAUAAUGGCCUCGUAUCUCCUCCACCCACAAGGCCACACACAGCCCAGUAGUAGGCCAGUAGUCCACCGGGGUCAACUCCUCCUUCGAGUGCAACCUCUGCCAGUGCCAGCCAUCAAACCAAGACCCCCCCGAAUUAGCCCCAAAUGAUCUCUUUUUCGUGUCACCUUUUCCCUUUUUUUUUCGUCCUGCGAUCAGGCUAGAGUACGUACGAGUACUAGUACUAGUGUACCAGGCAACGAGAGCCAUCGAUGGCACGCAGCGCUAGUCCACUCGAUUACGGUUGCUCGCCGUACGUCUCGGCGCGACGCGGCCGUGGUCCCUGCGUCGCGCGCGCGUCGCGUCGCGCACGCCACGCCGGCGCUCGCAUGCGAUCAUGCGCGAGCUCGUCGCACCGGCUUGGCCUUUUGCCGCGCGCCACGGCUUUUCUGACCCCCAAAAUAAAAGAAAAAACGGCUGCAGCCAGCGGCGGCCGGUCAGCCAGCCGGCCAGCUACACGGUGCGCGUACGUACGGGGGGAAACACGCACUGUGUGGGGGGAAGGAAAAAAACUCGUUGAGCAGACUGGGUGGCUCUCGGUUCAAAAUUGUCUCCAUUGAUCUAAUUUUUAAAAACUUUUAAAGUAAAAAUAUUUAUUUUUAACUAAAGUUGCUUACACGCUACUCUCUUCGGUCUAAUAAUACUUGCCCUUUUAUAUAAGGGUAAAGUCAAACUUUAGAAUCUUUGAUUAUGAAUCUUUUUAAAAUAUUUGUCCUUCAAAUAUGAUGAUUACAUGUAUAGAUUAGUCUUAAAAAAUAAUUUAAUAAGAUCAUAUAUUUGUUAAUACUUUUAUACAUGUUAUAAUGAAAAAUAAUGGUCAAAAUUAUUUUUUGGAGAUCGUAUCCUUGUCCAAAACGACAAGUAUUAUCAAUCCGGAGGGAAUACUAACUUAGCUCAUUAAACAAAGAAAAAUAUACCCCCUACAUCCAUAAAAGUUACACAUAUUAUUUAUAUUAUUUUUGUCACCAAGACCAAGGAAAAUUUAAAUCAUCUUGGAUGUUACAAAAUCAUAGAGUGAAUGCAAGCAUGUAACCAAUGAGUGUUUAGAUGCCUCCUUGGGUUCUAAUCAAAUAUUUAAUUUGUCUCCUUAUUUAAGUCUUGAAUGCAUAAAGACUGCAGAUAGAAAUAACUUAUUUGGGAAAAACUCAAAUGUGAAAUAUAUUUAACUUUUGUGGUUGAAGGGAGUAAUAAACUAUAAAAACAGUACUACUAGCUAGCGUGUGAUGAUAUCUAGAUUUCCGUUUACAAUUAUAAACGAUUCUAAAAUACUUUUAUAAUAUUAAGGAAGUAGCAAAACGAUAAAUCAUAGUGAGUAUUAUUUAAUAUAUUUGACAAUAAACUAGAAGUAGUAGGGGAGAAAUAAACAAUACAAAAGUCGAUAAGUGUAAAAUAAACUAAUAGAAUACUAUGCCUUGGGAUUACAGAUAUCUUAUGUUUAUAAUAAAUUAAAAUAAUAUAAUCUCUUAUAUUUAUAUAUCGAGGGAGUACGAUCAUUUAGCGUAUUGUGCUGUACGCUAGAAAUUUCUUACGUCUGGUUCGUAGAACCAUUUGUGGGUGUGAUCUUAAGCGAGGGUACCUGCGUACGUAGGUAGAAGAUGGGGACGGGGAUAUGGUUGAGAGAACGGGAGUGGUGAAUGCCGUCCUGAAUCCACGGAGCAGCGUAUGGAGUCACGAUUUGUUACGGUGAGCUCUCGCUCUCGUCAUGGCGGAGGUGGAUCGAUCCAUCCAUUUUCACGCCGGUCGUGGUCAUCCAUCAAUGCUCAUGUAUCGUGCCAGCGAGAUUGCAGGUGAUGUCUUCAUCAUCUAAUCGGAAAUUCAGCAACCUGGGGAGAAAAAAAAAUCAACAAAUCGCUGAGCACUGUACCUAAUUUCCGGGACGAUUCCGUACGAGCCCCCUAACAGUAGUGUACUUACUGGAGUACUAAGUGCAAUGAGCUAAUGCCAUGUUUGCCAUUACUACUUGCAAGCAGUCAAUCUUUAGGGCAGAUGAGACGAUCUGAUCCGUCCGAAGAAAAGAGAGGGGGAGAGGGACCCAGCCGUGUUGUGGUGUGAUGAUGGCGCCUUUUGAGCACGCAAAAGAGGAGUCCUAGACCGACCUGCCAAUGCCGUGCCCGUGGCAGCCGGCAGGUAGUGGGUUGGCACUGCCUGACCCCCCGACCCGACUCCCCUGCCUCCUGCUGCCGCUAGCUGCGACCUGCACCGGCGCAUGCCGCAGCACAACAGCAGCAGCGGCUCACAGUCACAGCUUGUGUGUGCGUACGUACAACCCGAGCACGCGCACAGUGCCGCACCGCAGCACGCGGCACAGCAGCGGCAUUAACGCCACAUGCUCUCAUAAACGUAUGAGUAUUUCUUCGCACUUUUUGCAGGCUUGCGAUGCAGCGACGACGGAGAACGCGGCGCCGCGCGGCGAAGGGCGAGACGAGGCCCGGGGUUGGGUGCGCGUGGUGGUGGUGCCAUGCACGGGCUGAUCGGGUUGGAUGGAUGGUCCCCCGUCCGUAGCCGUAAGGGUGGCCCGCGUGUGGCAGGUGGCGCAUGCAGCAGCGGGCGCAGCGGCUGCUGCUUGCUCUGCUUGUUCCCCUCCCCAAGCGCCGUGUUGCCUCUGACCGCGCCACGCGAAUGCUCCGCUUUGUCCCUCGACGCCACGCCACGCGAGUAGCGCCACGCACCGCCCACCACCCCAUCCAUCCAUCCAUCGGGCCGUGCGCCGUGGUUGGCGGCGUUUUUUCUUGGUAGGUUUUGUAUUGUACGCACGCACUGGUAGUGGACGGCUAGUAGCCUAGAACUGGUGUAAGUCGUUAACCCGUAAAACCUACUUAACCUGUUUGGAUUCGUGGCCGACCAAUUACACCCCUACCUAAAACUAAGAUCGGUGCUGCUGCUGCUUUUGCCCGUGCGCGCACGAGUAAAAAAUGGGUUUGGGCCAUGAGGGAACGAGGGGGUGUGUGUGUUGUGUUCUUCUAUUCUGCAAUGGUGGAGCGCCUUCUUGUCGGGGGCACGCACGCUUCCAAAGUUGUACCGCACGGGCACCGAGGGGCAGGGCAGGGCAGGUUCUCUCGGCUUUGGGACAUUUCUUGCUGCGUCGCUGGUGGUGUAGCAGUGGUGGUAGUGGGAGUAGUGGCGUUCAAGGCCAAAGGAUGUUGCGUUUCGAUUUCUCUAGUGCUUGGGCCAUGCUGCAUGAGGCUUAAACUAAACUUUGAUCACACUUUGGAUGCAUGUUCCUGCACAACACCAAAAAUAAAAAAAAAAUAAAAAUCCUCCAAAAAUAGCGCUUGGUAGGAUGUCCGUCAUGCCAGCAAUACGCAGUUGAAUCAGACUUAAGUGCCUGUCAGCAUUGAACAAAGUUUUGUAAUGUCAAAAGUUCCAUUAUUAUACACACAAUCUGCCUCUCAAUGAUAUUUACAAGUACUACUAGUACUAGUACUCCCAUGGUAACAUAACACCACGCGCUAGCGGCCAGCCACACGAACAUGUGAUACACUUCUCAAUAAAAAUCCCCAUCCAUUCUCCCUUCCUUCCAUCCCCUUCGAUAAUCCACCCCCAUCCGUUGGAAACCUCAGCUGCACUACCCUCUCGUGUUUCUCGCGCCCCAAUUAAUCCACGGGCCACAACGUUUUACCUACCGUCUCCCCCCACCUACAAGAAAUCAUUUCUACGACGCCUGCUACCUUUGGUAAAAAAAACGGAGCAUAUUUUGCUUCUUCCCUGUUCAAUCUUACCACCGGCAGGCAAGGCGAGGUCUAUUUAUUUAUUUACCGCGCGAGGCGGCCACUACUACUACUAGGACCAAACAGGGUCAAAGCAGCUGCAGUAGUUGCAUCAGUGACGAAGGGUUCUAAUGCCUUUCUGUCCCGCCUCGCAUUAAUUCUUUGGCUUGGUUGGAUGCGAGAGAAAAAAGAGGAGAGAUUUUGGUAGAAUUGUAAGAUUUUUGUUACUACUACCACUCGUUUUCUUGGCUUGGUUUGGUUUGGUGUUUGAUCACGCGGUGGUGACAUUAUAAGGGCGCGGUUGCGCAGGUGUUCGACCAGCGGGUGGCGAGGUCGGCGGCGAGGUGGUGGUGGUGCGCACAUGCUCGAGGUGCUGGACAUGGCGCCGCCCCGGCACCAGCCGGCAGCUGGGAAGGCGGGCGGCGGGCGCGGGCAUGGGCAUGGGCAUGGGCAUGGUGGUGGUGGUGGUGGGCCGGCGGCGAGGAAGCAGCCGUUGCAGAGUAGCAUGGCGCAGCCCAAGGCGGAGACGGCGGCGGCGACGGCGGCGGUCGCGCCGCCGGAGGGAGGGAAGAAGUGCGGCGGCGGUGGCGGGAGGCGGCGCGGCGGGCGCGGGCGCGGCGGCAGGGCGGGUGCGGGGCCGGGGCCGGGGCUGGCGGCGGCGCCGGCCGUGGUGGUGGCGCCCGCGGCGCGCGCCGUCAUUGGGCCGCCGGUGGCGAGCAAGGGGCUGUCGUUCUGCCGGCGGCCGGGGUUCGGGACGGUGGGCGCCCGGUGCGUCGUGAAGGCGAACCACUUCCUCGCCGAGCUCCCCGACAAGGAUCUCACCCAGUACGACGUAAGUCUCUCUCUCUCUCUCUGCUCCAUAUGUACUUUGAGCAUGGAAGAAAGGUGAGAGCGGUUUUCUUGGUUUCCGUGGCGCGGCGGCGGCGGACUUUGCAGGUGAAGAUCACGCCGGAGGUGAGCUCCCGGAGCGUGAACCGGGCAAUCAUGUCGGAGCUGGUCCGCCUCUACCACGACUCCGAUCUCGGAGGUCGCCUCCCGGCCUACGACGGCCGCAAGAACCUCUAUACCGCCGGGACGCUCCCGUUCGACGCGCGCGAGUUCGUCGUCCGCCUCACCGACGACGACGACGGCACCGGCGUCCCGCCACGGUGCGCGCAUUAUUUGCCCACAGCCCGGCGCUCCAUUCUUCUCCGGCCAUGUCUUAACCGUCAUCGCGUCUCUGGCUCCGCAGGGAGAGGGAGUACAGGGUCGCCAUCAAGUUCGCCGCGCGCGCCGACCUCCACCACCUCCGGCAGUUCAUCGCCGGGCGCCAGGCCGACGCGCCGCAGGAGGCUCUCCAGGUGCUCGACAUCGUGCUCCGUGAGCUUGCCAACCGCAGGUACGCACACGCAUUGCUCGUCGUCUUGUGUUCUUGCAAGGGAAAAGAAAGGAAAAAAACUAAUACUGAUUGGCCCCAAUGGUAGGUAUGUCUCGAUAGGGCGGUCGUUCUACUCGCCGGACAUAAGGAAGCCGCAGCGGCUCGGCGAUGGCCUACAGUCAUGGUGUGGGUUCUACCAGAGCAUCCGGCCGACUCAGAUGGGGUUGUCGCUUAACAUUGGUGAGAUGCUCGCGAAUAUUUGGUGCCCUCAUGCAUGUAUCUUUCCUGGUUGUCAUGUGCUUGCUGCUUACAUGGUGGAUGAUGUUGAUGCCAGAUAUGUCAUCUACCGCGUUCAUCGAGCCGCUACCAGUGAUCGAAUUCGUGGCCCAAAUACUAGGGAAGGAUGUCAUAUCGAGGCCAUUGUCGGAUGCAAACAGAAUCAAGGUAAAUUUAUGCUUGCGGGGAAGGAAUAGUCUAGCCUUGUUACUGUAGUGGGAUGUAAGAUGUGUUGUUUGGAUGCUUUUGGUUAACUGAUAGAUGGCUUAAUUGUGAUGCUUUGCAUGAUUAUCUGAUUUACCUGUGGAAUUCGCCAAUUCCAUGCAGAUCAAGAAAGCCUUGCGGGGCGUGAAAGUUGAAGUCACUCACCGGGGAAAUGUGAGGCGGAAGUAUCGCAUUUCAGGGCUGACAACACAACCAACUCAUGAACUGAUGUAUGUUAUAGUGUAAUUCAUUUCUCGUCAUGUACUUUCAAUUGUCAAAUGUCUUGUACCGAACUUUCACGAAAGUAGAAGCAUGCAUGUUAAGCACUCCCUCUUGCUUCUAAAUCUGAGUAUGGCAGACCAAAUAGACCAAAUUAACUAUCAAUAUCCAUAUUUCAUAUACGUUAGCUACUAGGCAUUGUGUUAAGCUAUGGAACUGAUUUUGUUUGUUUUAACAGUUUCCCAAUCGAUGACCAAAUGAACAUGAAAUCUGUCGUAGAGUAUUUCAAGGAAAUGUAUGGCUUCACCAUUCAGCAUCCCCAUCUUCCCUGCCUUCAGGUGGGAAACCAAAAGAAGGCAAACUAUCUACCAAUGGAGGUUGGUAUUAAUCUCAUCAAGUCACAAAUUUCAUUAGCUGGUCAAUUAUGUAACAUUCAACCUUGGUAAAAGACAUCAUCAUUUUGAGAUAUUUCUUACCAGGCCUGUAAGAUUGUUGAGGGUCAGAGAUAUACAAAGAGGUUGAAUGAAAAGCAGAUCACAUCAUUACUCAAGGUUACUUGCCGUAGGCCUAGAGAACAGGAGAUGGAUAUUCUACAGGUCUAGUUUUUUCUCCUAAUCGGAUUAUAACAUUUUGAAAUAUAUGGAUUACAUGUUUGUCAGGAGUAAAUGUUUCAAGUAUUUUGUCUUACUAAAUUGGAUGAUAAAUCCAAACACCAAAUCAGUGCAUUAGAAUUUAGAAGAUACGCAUGCUAAUGUACGUUAAUUGUUCUAUGCUGAAGUCUUUGUUUUCAUUACCCACUUCCAAGUGGUCCAAGCAUUCCAUGCAAUUGAUGUUCAAUAGCUACCCACCCAAUAAGUGCUACUAGGGUUUCUCUUCACUUGAUCAGCACUCUUGUUAUAAUGGUUCAAGACUAAAAAAAUUUCUUUCCAGACAGUUCAACAAAAUGGAUAUGAGCAAGACCCUUAUGCAAAAGAAUUUGGAAUCAACAUUAGUGAGAAGCUAACCUCAGUUGAAGCUCGGGUCCUUCCUGCACCUUGGGUAUGAUUUGCCUUUGUUAAUCUCAGUAGUUGGCUAACUGCUCUCAGCUAAUAAUUUGGGUAUGAAAUUUUGUGGCUUUCAGCUGAAAUAUCAUGAUACUGGGAAGGAAAAGGAGUGCUUGCCACAAGUUGGUCAGUGGAACAUGGUGAACAAGGUUAGAUUCCCCGUUUUCCGCAGCUGUAUACAACAGACGUCCUUUUAUAUAUCAUGAUGAUGGCCUGAUCCUGCUAGUUUUCCACUAAUUAAGCAUUUUUUUUUUGCAGAAAGUGAUAAAUGGGUGCAAGGUGAAUCAUUGGGCUUGUAUAAAUUUCUCAAGGAGUGUGCAAGAAACUACUGCUCGGGGAUUCUGCCAGGAGUUGGCACAAAUGUGUCAGAUAUCCGGCAUGGUAUAUAACUCUUAACUUCAUCUAAUGGUUUUGCAUAAUAUUGGUGCUUUUAUAAUGUUAUUUGUUGGCUGCAUCUUUUCAGUUUUAUCUCUGCUCUUCUUGCAGGAAUUCAACAGUGAGCCUGUGAUACCAAUAUACUCAGCUAGACCAGAUCAAGUAGAGAAGGCGCUUAAGCAUGUGUAUAAUAUGUCAUUAAACAAGCUCAAGGGAAAAGAGCUUGAGCUUCUUUUGGCCAUCCUCCCUGACAACAAUGGUUCUUUAUAUGGUGAGUGUCGGUUUGGUAAUUGCAUCGCAAUUUUUCCUUGGAAUCCUCAUAUUGUGUGAAAUGCUUAAGAUGUAACUUAAUAUUUGCAGGUGAUAUAAAACGUAUAUGUGAAACUGACUUGGGGUUGAUAUCACAAUGUUGCUUAACCAAACAUGUUUUCAAGAUCAGCAAGCAGUACCUGGCAAAUGUCUCACUUAAAAUCAAUGUUAAGGUACCAAAUACUUAUAAACCAAGCAGUUAAUACUUAGCUUGUCUACACAAAUGUAGUGUAAUGCAGUAAGCAGACUUGCAGCAUUGCUAAUGCCUUGCAUUUCGGAGUUGUGAUACAGAUGGGAGGAAGAAACACCGUGCUGCUGGAUGCAAUAAGUUGGAGGAUUCCUUUGGUCAGUGACAUACCAACUAUUAUAUUUGGUGCAGAUGUCACGCAUCCUGAAACCGGGGAGGACUCUAGCCCAUCCAUUGCUGCUGUAAGGCUGAGCAUUUCUAUGGUUACAUGGCCAUCAUUUUUUUUUUAACCUCUUACCCUCUCUAAUAAGCUGCAUGCAGGUUGUUGCAUCUCAAGACUGGCCAGAAGUUACAAAGUAUGCUGGAUUGGUGUGUGCUCAGGCUCAUCGGCAAGAGCUCAUUCAAGAUCUUUACAAGACAUGGCAUGAUCCUCAAAGAGGCACCGUAACAGGAGGCAUGAUCAGGUCUUUUUUGAGGAACAAUUUGUUCUUCCAACCAAAAUUAAUUGAUGAAGCCUCCUAUUAAAUAGUUUAGGGUUACCUCCUACCGAUUAACUUAUUUUUGGUUCUGGUCUUGUUGUGUAGGGAGCUCUUAAUAUCCUUCAGGAAGGCCACUGGGCAAAAGCCAUUGAGAAUAAUUUUCUACAGGUAUGCUACUGCAAAUACUGUUUAUAAACUAACGUUUGUAGAGUACAGUAGUUAGAUAUUUGUGGAAUCAAUUUAAUCCUAUGUAUCUUCAACAAGUACUGAACCUAGUGUUUUUGUUCGCUAUUUGAAGUAUGAAAGUUGCUGUUAUAGGCUUCUAUUUGUAUAUCUGCUAAUAGUAUCGGUACUGCUUCUCUUCUAGGGAUGGUGUCAGUGAAGGCCAAUUCUACCAAGUUCUCCUCUAUGAGUUGGAUGCUAUCCGCAAGGUUAGAUGCAUUUGUAUUUUCUUUACUCAGAUAUUUUGUCCACUUUAUUAGGUUGCCUGACGAAAUGUUUUCUUUUAGGCAUGUGCAUCUCUAGAACCAAAUUAUCAGCCUCCUGUAACAUUCGUGGUUGUCCAAAAGCGUCACCAUACAAGACUCUUCGCAAACAAUCACAAAGACAGAAGUAGCACGGACAAAAGUGGAAACAUUUUGCCUGGUAAUUACUAUUCAUCACCUCUUAAGGCAUUUCAUUGGAUCUACUGCAGAUGAUAAUGCAACCAACAUAUUGCAAAAAUAUUUUUUUUAUUUUAACUAAAACCCUCAGUUUGUUGGUAGAACUGUUUCAGUGAUUUGAUACUUGUUUUCCUAUUCAUGAUAUCACAUUCACAACUGUUUUUCUUGGAUUAUUAAGGUAUCACUUUGGGUGAACUAACUUUUAUAUUUACUGUUAUUCACUUGAUUUCUGUAAUUGCUCAUGUGUUUGCUAAAAAACAGGAACUGUUGUUGAUUCAAAGAUCUGCCACCCAUCAGAGUUUGAUUUCUACCUCUGUAGCCAUGCUGGAAUUCAGGUAAGAAUAUUGUAGUGGUCCUUUUGUAAGGCUGACAUAUACUGAACUUGUCGUUACUCUGGUCCCCAUGUCUUCUGUGAUUAAGUAUUUGAGGAGACUUCAUAUUGUCUUUUCAACCACAAGCAGUGUAGUACUUCCUCCGUCCCAAAAUGUAAGCAUUUUUGAGGUUGGUACGGGUAUUAAGAAAGUAGGUGAGAAUGAUUGAAGAAGGUGUGUGAUUGAUUGAAAAGAGAAAGUAGGUGAAAAAGAAUGAUUGUGAUUGGUUGAGAGGAGAAGGUAGGUAGAAAAAUAGCUUCAUUUUGAGACAAAUUACUGUGCUAGAAAUAGCUACAUUUUGAGACAGAGGUAGUAGUAUCACAGUAGCUAGUUACUGUAGUACCUAGCAAAGGGCACAUCUGCACAUGCUAGAACAAACAAACUUACUAUACCAUGGUCAAAUUUUUAAUCAUGUGAUUGUACAUUAUAGUACUUGGAUCAGCAAAUAUUCUGUCUGUAGUAGCGCUGGAAUAUAAUUCCCCAAGUUUGUCCUCCAUGUACUGAAAUGACUGAUGUGUGUGAGUUUUCCAGGGAACAAGUAGGCCAGCUCACUACCACGUCCUUUGGGAUGAGAACAAUUUCACUGCAGACGAAAUGCAGACAUUGACAAACAACCUUUGCUACACGUACGGCAUUACUGAAUCUUGUUAAGUUUAUCCUUUGCACUCUGAGCUUCUCUCUAUAGAAAUUGUCUGACUUGGUACAUUUGCUGAUGCAGUUAUGCACGGUGCACACGCUCUGUUUCUGUUGGUACGUUCUUCUGAAAUGAUCUGAACAUUUUUCCAUCAUUUUCUUUGUAUUCAUGUGUUAUUAUUAGUUGGACACGAAUUCUGAAGGUGAAUCUUGCAUUUCUUUUUUCCUGGUCCAACAGUUCCACCUGCAUACUAUGCGCAUCUGGCUGCGUUUCGAGCGCGGUUCUACAUGGAGCCAGAGAUGUCGGAGAACCAGACGACGUCGAAGAGCUCCACUGGGACGAACGGAACCUCGGUGAAGCCAUUGCCUGCGGUGAAGGAGAAGGUGAAGAGGGUGAUGUUCUACUGUUGAUGACUGGGAGACUACCUUUAACUACUCACAUAUGAUGUACCUAACAUUGUAGAAUUUUAGUGGUAGGGAUUUAGAAUUAGCUUCCUUCAGGAAAGGGAGCAGAGCAAGCAUUUGGAUCCUGAGCGACCUCUUUUGACCACUCUGUAAAGUACUAAGUAACGCAUGUAUAAUAGUUGUUGUAUCAGUCUGAAAAAAAGGAAGUGCACUCAGUGCUUGUUUUUCCAGUUCUAGGAUGAUUUUCUCUUCAUGGUUAAGAUCUGGUAAGAGACUCAAUACACGAAUCCAUUAUCAGGAUAACACCAACAAUUUUCACUUAUAGAACAUAUUCGAAAAUUUCUGAGAAUAGGCUAAUAAUUCUCAAAAUAAAAAUAAAAAUAACCUGCAGGAUGAGCAUCAUUCGUUGCUGCCAUUAAGGACAGUAACUAAGGAUAUAAUGCUGAAUAUACGAAUCUAGUUAAGACGGCCUGAAGCAGGUCCACAGAACCCGACUUAAAAUCAUUGUUAGUUCAGAUUCCGGGCCACAUUGUAUUUUUACUGUGACUUGCAGAUGAACCUUCUUCCAUAAAUAAAUAUUGCAUUCACUUCAAAGUGAUGUUUUAUGUGUUAGUGAGUUUUGAGUGGAUAUGCUGAAUACAUCAACAAGAGCAAACUGAAAAUCCAAGUAUAGCAUUUUUAACAAGCUGACAAAUGACAGAAUCAUGCUGCGAUGAUAAUGUUCGUCCAUCCAUUGUUAAGAAGUUAUGGUUGCACAUUAGAUAUAAUCAUCUGCACUGAUAGGCAUAGGCAACAACAGAAAAAAAAAUACUACUGGCAUUGGUGUCUAACCUUGUUUUUUCAUCUGCAGAACCGUGUUCCAUUUCCUGGCAAGAGUAAAAAAAAUCCAGCUCUGCUACAAGCCUGAAACAAGCUAGCUGAAGUUCAGUAGUCCUCAAAUUAACUAACUGUACAAGCCUGAUCACUCGAAUGUCUGUUCAGACAAGGUUCUUCAAAAUUGCUAAUGAAACGGCUUCCAGUGAUUGAUCAUGCUUCUGUUGGUCCAGUCAAACUAAUGGAUGCUUCAACAAUUCCUUUGUCCAAGCAUUAUAUGCUUCAACAACUCCUCAGUACCCCUUCACCUCAAUCAAGCUACACCCUGCAUUCUUCUUGACAGUAGGGUGUGCCAUCUUGCCCCGUACCCUUAUCACAUCCUCCCAUCUACUUGCUGUUGCAUAUACAUUAGACAUGAGCAAAUUCACAUCAGUAAUUUGGGAAUCUUGCUCACAGAUUCGUUUGGUUAACCGUUCACUCAUCUCAACAUUCCCAUGAGCCUUGCAAGCAGUGAGGAGUGCACCAAACAGUGGCAUAGCAUCCUUGUUAAUUGGAACGUCACCGAUCAACCUCUCAGCUUCAUCUAGUAGACCAGCACGACCUAGGAGGUUCACAAGGCAGCUAUAGUGUUCAACUCUUGGUUCUAUCUGAUAAACCUCCCUCAUUGCAUGGAACUGCUUCCGGCCUUCAUCAACCAAGCCACCAUGGCAGCAUGCACUUAGCACCCCAAUAAACGUAACACCGUCGGGCUUAACUUUACUUCUCUGCAUAUCUUGAAACAGUUCAAGAGCUCUACCAGCCUGACCAUUUGUGGCCAGCCCACAGAUGAUGGCAGUCCAAGCUGUGGCAUCUCUGCCUUGCAUUCGCCAGAAGACCUCUAGAGACUUCUCAAUGUGCCCACAUUUAGAAUACAUGUCAAUCAAUGCGGUGCCUAGGACUGCAUCGAUCUUCAUUUUCCUUUGUUCAGCAUACUGGUGAAUCCAUUCACCUUGAUCAAGAGCGCCAAGAUUGGCACAGCAUGUCAGGAGAGUGACAACAGUGAACCUGUCUGGCUCAACCCGUUGCAUCUGCAUAUCUCGGAACAAUGUCAGCGCCUCCUCGAAGCAUCCGUGUUGCACACACGCAUUGAUCAUUGCAGUCCACAGAAUUAGAUCCUUCUCUUUGCACUGGUUGAAGAGCACUCUGGCCUUGUCCAGCUGCCCAGCAAGGCCAUAUCCCGACACAAGUAUGGUCCAAGAAAUUAUGUUCCUCGCAGGCAUUUGCUCGAACAAUUUCACCGCCUCUUCCAAGCAAUCAUUCUUCGUGUACAUGUCCAGCAGAGCAUUUGCAACUGGCAGAUUGAAACCGAAGACGUUAUCCAUGUACACAUGAAUCCUCCUUCCCAAGCUCAGGUCCCUUGCUCUAGAGCACGCCGUCACCGCCGUCACCAACGUCACCCUGUCAGGUGUGACACCGCUUCUCUCCAUCUGUUCAGACAAAGCAACUGCCGCCGAGUACCACCCGCACCUGAUGUAGCACCUGACCAUCAUGUUCCACAGCACCAGCGCCCUACUCGGCAUUUCGUCGAACACCUUCCGCGCGAUGUCCACGCGCCCCAGCAUCGUGUACAUCUCCAUCAGCGAGCUCCCGGUGUAGGCGUCCCACCGGAACCCGGUCUUGACAGCGGCCGCGUGCGCCUUGCGCCCCUCGACCGACAGCUUGAGGACCCCGACGGCCCUGAGCACGAACGGGUAGGUGAAGCUGUCCGCCACGAGUCCCCGCGCGCGGAGGUCGUAGUACACCGCCAUGACGCGCGCGAAGCUCCCCCGCCUCGCCAGCGUCCUGAUCAGCACGUUGCACUCCCAGAGCGGCAUCCCGUGGCCCCUCCUCGCCGCCGCCAUUGCCAUCGCGCGGGGUGGGUGGCGGCGACGCGACGCGGCCAAGACGUGGGGGGGGAAUCUUUUCCUAUAUAGAGAGCGGAAAGUCACAGCCUCACGGGAGAGAAGGGUAGGUGUUUGUGUGUGUGCCUCUCUCUCGAGUCUCGAGAUGGUGGGGAAGCGAGUGGCGGUGGUGGUGGGAGGGAGCGUGGCGGGGCUGGCAUGCGCGCACGCGGUGGCGGAGGCGGGGUGGGAGGCGGUGGUGGUGGAGAAGGCGGCGGCGCCGGGGGCCGGGAGCGGCACGGGCGCCGGGCUGGGGCUCGACGCGCAGUCCAUGGAGACGCUCGCCCGCUGGAUCCCCGGGCGCCUCGACGCCGCCACGCUGCCGCUCGCCGUCGACCUGGUAAGCUAAGCUCCCCCCUGUAAAUCCGCCGGCCUCCUCCUCCUCCCUUCCCCUUGCCUUGACCCACCCGUGAGCGCGGCGCGCGCGCAGAACAGGGCGACGGACGGCGAGACGAAGGCGGGGAGGACGCUGACGAGGGACGAGGGGUUCGGCUUCAGGGCGGCGCACUGGGGCGACCUGCACCGGCGGCUGCACGAGGCGCUGCCGGCCGGCGUGACCGUGCUCUGGGGCCACCAGUUCGUGUCGUUCGAGAUGGCGCCGGAAGGGGACGGAGAUGGCGGGGUCGUGGUGACGGCCCGCGUGCUGCGCACCGGGGAGACGGUGGAGGUCGCCGGGGAUUUGCUCGUCGCGGCGGAUGGCUGCACGUCGGCGAUCCGCCGGCGAUUCCUCCCCGAACUCAAGCUGAGGUCAGCCAGAGGUUCUAGACUACUGAAUUGUUUACUGGUAGUAGUAUUAUUGUUUAGUCGCAUGAUUUUUUUUUUCAAUUUAGCUGCUCCCUCCGAUUUUGAAUAACACUCGCACCUUCUCCACCUCCUCGAGUUGGGUACUACUACUAAUUAUCGUGCCAUAUAAUUUUCUUACAACUCUAAUUGGGAAUAUAAAAAUAUGAAACAUACUUAGCAGAGUGAAUCCAAGCCCGGCCUGAGACCCACGUGCCCACGCUCGACUCACGCCGCAAAGUCUAUUGGACAAAACCCCAUGUCGGCAUGCCCGAUGGGUUCGCGUUGCCAGCCACCUCCUAGUCCCGUGUGCUGCCACGUCGCUAGCCAUCACCGCACCGCCAGCCGUCGCUUGCGCCCUUGCACCUCCACGUCAUGUGGCCAAGCUCCCUUCCCGUGCACCACCGCCGCCGCCUAGUGUAGACACUGGAGAAGAGUAGAAGACUGAGGGAGUGAGAGAUAGCAGUGAGGAGUAUAAGGUUUGUGAUUUGGGGAUUUCUAUGCUAGGGUUUCAUUUAGUGAAUAUAUAUAUUGCAUACAAAGGGGUCAAAUGGACUAUUAGGCCAUGUGAGGAGAUAAAACUAUUUAAGGCCUGAAAAAUAUAUAUGGGCUAAAAAAUUUUCAGGUCGGGCAUGGUUUACCCACAGGAAAAACCCGCGCGCGCCUACUAAGUUCGCGGGUAUCGGAUCGGGCGUGCCCACAGGCAAAAAAAAAAAAAGUUAUCCGCGGAUACCCAAACCUAUGAGCAAUACUGCCAUUCCUAAGAUUUUGGGUGUGUUUGAGAGAAGAGAUUUUUUUAAAAAAGUAUAUAAAAUGGGAUGAGCCAUUAUCAUAUGAUUAAUUAAGUAUUAAUUUUUUAAAACUUAAAAAAUAGGUUAAUAUAUUUUUUUUUAAAAAAUAACUUUUUAAAAUUAUCUUUUUUAAAAAAACGUAUGAUUUAGUGGUUCGGAAAACGUAACGAGGGAUUUCUUCUCUCUUUCAUCCUAAGGAACAGCCUUAGUGAUAUUAAGGAUUUACGAUUGCCUUUCAUCUCUUUCAACGUGUGUUUUCGGGCGCAUUCGUGGACGAUAGUGUGGUGCAUGAGUCGUGAUGGUGUGUGCGUGUGUUUUUCUUCCAUUAAUGAAAGGAAAAUAUUAGCUGAGUUUUUCAGUAUUUCAAUAUAAUAUCAUGUCAAAAUGGGCAAACUUAGCUAAGAUUGUUUUCGAUUUUCUGAUUAUUUUUCAAUAAUGUAGGUACUCUGGAUACUGUGCAUGGCGUGGCGUCUUCGAUUUCUCCGGGAAGGAGGGGUGCACCACCAUGGUCGACAUCCGGAGGGCCUACCCAGAGCUCGGCAACUGCCUCUACUUCGACCUGGCAUACAAGACGCACGCUGUGCUCUACGAGCUGCCCAAGAACCGGCUCAACUGGCUCUGGUACAUCAAUGGCGAUGAACCAGAGCUCAUGGUAAUUGUCAAUCGAUGAGAAAUAAAUCAGUGUGUUUAUCCCUCCUUUUCCGAUGUGAUUUGGUUCCGUUUGGUGUUGCAGGGGAGCUCGGUGACGAUGAAGGUGAACGAGGCCACGGUGAGCGAGAUGAAGGAGGAAGCCGAGCGCGUGUGGUGCCCCGAGCUGGCGCGGCUGAUCGGCGAGACGGCGGAGCCGUUCGUGAACGUGAUCUACGACGCCGAGCCGCUGCCCGGGCUGUCGUGGGCGGGAGGGCGGGUGGCGCUGGUCGGCGACGCGGCGCACCCGACCACCCCGCACGGGCUGAGGAGCACCAACAUGUCCAUCCUCGACGCCCGCGUGCUCGGCUGCUGCCUCGCGAGGUGGGGCGGCGAUGGCAACGCCGAGCCGACGUCGACGCCGCGGCGGGCGCUGGCCGAGUACGAGGCAGCGCGGCGGCCGGUCGUGGCGGCGCAGGUGCUGCACGCGCGCAGGCUCGGACGGCUCAAGCAGGGCCUGGGCAUGGGCAGCGCCGGGGACGGGGAGGGGUUCGACGCGAGGACGGCGACGGAGGAGGAGAUUUCGCAGCUGCGGCAGAGCAGCAUGCCGUAUUUCAGUGGCGCGCCAACCAUUGAGUGAUCUAAUAAAUGUAUUUUUGUGAAUUUUUAUAUAAAGAAAGAAAUGGCUAUCUCUAUCAUAGGUUUUCUUUACCGAAAUUUCAAAUUUUUAGCUCCUGCCCUGUUUGGAAUAAAUGAAAUCUGUACUAUUUUCAAUAAGAAGUUUGUUGUAAAUUUCACCAAAAACCGUUAAUUUAAUUUUAUUUUUCUUCUCAUAGGAACCGUUCAUUUCCGAAAAUGCUCAGGCCCGGGCAACCGGCGGGAGGUGGAGCAGGAUCAUGCGCACGUUCCCCUGGCCCCACCACAUGUCUCAAGAAAAUGUUUCACCCAGUGUACUCACAAUGUUUUACUAUAUAUAGAUCUGAUAUUAAAAUAUUCUUUUACAACAAAUUACCCACAUAUUUUGGAAACCCUUUAUUAAGGGAAUUCGUUUCAUUUUUUAUUUGCAGUGGCAUAUGUAUAGAUCUAAUGUUAUAGUGAACUGAAACAUUCUUUCGCUAUUUGCUGAAACAUUGUUUUUAUAUAAGGUGAAACAACGCCCGAUUUAAACGAAUGAAAUAUUUUCGAUCUACUUAGUGAAACAAUUCCGAUAUACUUGGUAGAGCAUCGUGCAACUGUCAACGUUUGAUGUCUCGACUACGGUAUUUGGACAGUAUGGGGAUCGUCGGUGCUAGGGUAUACGCGAGACUGAGGUAAAAGAGAUGGAGACGAUGAUUUUUAUACAGGUUCGGGCCCCUGAGCUAUCAGGUAAUAGCCCUACAUCCUGUUGGCCGGAGCCAAUGUUGCUUUUUAUUCACCAUAAUCACACCAGUACAAUAUGUGGGGUGGCCUAUCUAACUGUUGUCGACAUGGCGGUCUGAAGGUCUGACUCGUAGUCGACAACAGGGUAGCCUUCCUCCUCGAGCUCGCGCCCGACGGAAUCAGAGACAGUGCUAGAUCCCUACGGCCGGCCUCUGAAGGUACCGGAUAGGGUCGAUCCAGGCGUAUCUCUGAUGUCGAUAUCCGGCGGCUUGUCUUGGCGUAUGUAGGCUUCUAUGUUGAUUGUGUUGGGAGUUGAUUGUCUCGUGGUGGGUGUUGAUCGUCUCAUGGUGGGGGUCGAUCGUGUUGAUCGUGUUGAUCCUCCAUGGUGGGUGUGUGUCCCCCUGUCCUCCUAGGGGGCUUAUAUUUAUAUCCAUAGGUGUCCCCUUGUCCAAGUAGAACUAGGGAAACCAAUAUGAAUACAAUCCGAGUAGUCCUUGUCGUUUCCAUAUAGAACUCUGGUUGUCUUUCCUUAUCCGGAACUCCCUCCUAUAUCCGUAGGCUGUUUCCGUAUAGGACAUGGUAUGUGGUGGGUCCUGCCGAGAUUUAGUCAACUACUAUUAGGUAUGUGGUAUCCAUAACCCUGACAGUAGCCCCCGACUUCAAUGCAAAUGAACGAAUUCAUAUUCUCAAUUGCGCGCAGACUUUGGAGUAACUAUUAUCGAGCUCAUGUGAACGUUUUCGGUGAGUUCAGAUAUAACGUUAGACUUCCUUUGUCAGCUUCGUGCGGGCACCGAAAGGGUUUGUCUAAGUCAAUCUUUGAUGUUGACCGAGAAAGUACAGAGCGUACGACUAAGUUUCCCGUCUUGCUGUAAUCGAGAAUUUGGAUUAAAGUCAAGAAAUUUUAUCUCGGCGGGUACAUCAUUUCUUCAUUCCGCAUUCCUUGUCGAGAUCCAGCAAUCGUUCUCGAGCGAUCGAGAAGGCGUAGAGUCUGCGACAGAGCCUUGUCAACAUUGGUCGUACUCGCCUUAGUCGAUCUUGGUGUAGAACCAUAGAGACAUGGAGCCUUCGUCAAUGUCGAAUAUAAUUUUCCUGAAAUCAAUACUCAGAAAAGAAUAUUAGAUAGAAAUAGCCCCCAAGCGAAUGCUCAAAGGGUGACAUAUUAUAAUAUGACAGACUAAUGAAUUGAAUGUACAGACCAGUGUUUUGUAUAUGAGUGUCUUCUCUCUUACCGACUCCGAUCAGUCAGUUUGUAGAGUCAUACACUCUCCCUAGCCCCCAGCCUUGUCAUCGGAGAAUCAUUCUCGGAGGAUAAGGCUCUUGGACCCUUGACCUGCCUUGGUUGAAUAAGCACUGAUCCUAGCCCCCAGCCGUAAAGUUGGAAAAGUCAAUUUCCGAUUACACGGCUUAGUUAAUACGCACGGCGAGAACUCUUACACGACCAGAUCUUACAUGGUCUUUUGUCAUUACAGAUCUUACAUGGGCCUCCACUUACAUGGCACUCCAGCAACCGUUGGAUCUCUCCUCCCUUUCCCUUCCUUAUCUGGCUACAUUCCCAAAUUCUUGUCCCAUCGACCUAGCCGAAACCUCCCCUCUCCCCCUCCACAGCUUCCUCUGCCUCCUUGCCCUCGUCGGCGCCGCCUGCGGUGAGGCUCCACGCCUCCAUCUCGGCCGUGUCCGUUAGUUCUCUUUUUCCCUACCUCCGCGAGUUCAGCUGUUCGCCGUAGCUCCCCCUGCUACGUCCCGAGCUCCGCCGCCUCCGAUUAAACUGUUUGCGCCAUCUGGCGGCGGCCAGCAGAGUCCUCCCUCAGCUCCGCGGGUUUAGAUUACUGCGCAUUGAUAUGUGGACUUCUCUGCUUGCUUCCUGAGGUUAGUUAUGUAUAAUUUUUCCCUAAUGAUUGAAAAAUCUUUGGGACGAAAAUUUCCAAAAUUUGGCCGAAAAUUCCAAUAUGAUAUUUGGAAGUUUUGACCAAAAUUUUGGAAGUUUUCGUUCAGGGGUAUUUCUGUCAUUAUGAUAAAAAUCUAACGGAGGCUAACUAGACAAUGAUGGUAUAUUAUAGAAGUUAAGAAAAUUGUGAUGACAUAUGAGAAUUUGACAAACCCAGUGACAUAUUGUAGAACAUGGAUAAAAUCAGUGACACAUAAUGGAUUCUUUCUAUUUGUUCCCUUAACUACCUAUCUACUAUGGUGCGACAUGUUUAGAAAAAGUUAAAUCUUAUACUAUAAUUCCAUUUCUUACACAUUAAAUUAUAUAUACUUAUAAUAUAAUUUUCAAAUUAUAUAGUGCACUAUUCACAUUUUAUAUGAGAAAUAUGGAAAAGUGAUUUAUUAUCUAUUUAAUUAUGAGAGAAAAAUAUUAGUCCAAAUUAACAUAAACAUAUAGAAAAUAAAAAAACAACAAAAGAAUUACGGAAUUACUCCGCACACUAACUCUCUCUCCCUCCAUUUUCUUUUUCCCUCUAACAGUUAGUGAUCGCUAGAUCCAGCAAUAAACAACCCAGAUCUAGCAUCUCCGUUUUUUGUAAGGUUGGUUCAUGCCUCCCUAAGUCUUUGCAAGCCCAACAAUCCCAACCUCAACGACGACGAUGACAAUAGUGUGCAUGGCGAUAGGGGAGGAGAAAAGACAUGGCUAUAACUAUAGGGUGCAGCUACGCAUGCAAAGGCGGAGAGGAGAAACGGUGGUGGCUCAUAGAGAAAGAGCGCUGGUGGUGGUGCGUGGAGCUGUAGUUAGUGGUCGCGGGUGGUCUGAGAAGUUUGUUGUCGACACAAUCUCUAACUGAGUUUGUUAAUGUUUUUCUGAUAUAUGGGCCACCAGUCAUCAUAAAAAAUAGCAUAGUAAGGCCCUGUUUAGAUACCUGGCAAAAUUUUACGCCCUAUCAUAUCGAAUGUUUGGACAUAUGUAUGGAGCAUUAAAUAUAGAAAAAACUAAUUAUACAGAUUACAUGUAAAUUGCGAGACGAAUCUUCUAAGCCUAAUUGUGUCAUGAUUUGACAAUAUGGUGCUACAGUAAACAUUUGCUAAUGACAGAUUAAUUAGGCUUAAUAAAUUCGUCUCGCGGUUUACAGGUGGAUUCUAUAAUUUGUUUUAUUAUUAGACUGUGUUUAAUACUUUAAAUGUGUGUCCGUAUAUCCGAUGUAAUACGCCAAAACUUUACAUCUGGAUCUAAACACAGCCUAAAAAUAUUGAGAUAUACGUGGAAUAUCAGUAUAUGCCACUCAAUUCGCGGCCCUAUGAUCCAAUUCGUGUGUAACUUUGGAACCUGCCACGGGAGAGCGAAUUCCUUCGUUUCACUCCAUCCAUCCGUCUGCCCAUCCGUUUUACGCUCGUCCGCGACCGCCGCCGCCGCCGCCACCUCUACCACCGUACCCGAGCUCGUCCGCCGCCGUCUCCAUUAGCGUCGUCCACCAGCUCGGCCGCCGUCCCCGAGCUCGCGUCGUCCUGGUGAGCCUCUUUCUGAUUCAUCUCUCUCUCUCCCACCCCACCGGGACAAUUUCUGUCUGCAAUUUGCUCACGUUCGUUCGUUAACCCUAGCUUCUCUUCUAGAUCUGGAAGAAGCUAUUUCAGAGCCUUAACCUUAAUACAAGUAACAGUUUAUUGUUUGUUUCCCCCAAAAUUUGGGGGUUCCCAAGUUGGAUCCGCCCCCUGCUUCGUCGCAAGAGAAAUUCUCCUUUUCAUUUGAGUUUGUAGAGCUUUUCAAUGGAGUAUACAUCAAGUGAGGAUGAUGAGCUGGUUGAAGGUUACAUGGAUGUUGAGGAUGAUACAGGCACCAGCAAUACUGAUCAAGGAACAGGUCUGAUGCCUUCUGAGAUGCGUAGCAUCCUUCCCCGUCCGUCGUCUGUUGGCAACGGUCGGCUGAUGGCUGCUGAUGGGUUGGGCACAAACGAUGACCCAUGCCUAGGCAUGGAGUUUGAGUCCGAUGGAGCUGCACGGGCAUUCUACAAUGCGUAUGCGCUGCGCCUUGGGUUCGGCAUCCGCGUCGCCCGGUCGCGCAGCGAGCGGAGGAAGGGUGUUGAGCUACUUAUCAUGAAGCGUUUUGUGUGCCUGAAAGAGGGACAUCACAAGAAGAAGGAUGCCGAGCCUAGCGACAAGAAAAAGAGGAAGCGGCUCUCGAUAAGGGAUGGCUGUCCAGCGAUGAUGGAAGUGGUGAGGAGGGGUCCGGAAAAAUGGGUCAUCACAAAGUUGGUCCUGGAGCAUACUCAUGUGAUUCUUAGCCCAGACAGGGUGCGGGAGGUCCAGCUCCGUCGCCUCUCUGGAAAGUGCGCAGAGCAUGAUAAUCAAUUGCAGGAGCUGCGCCGGAAUGUGUUUGGAGAUACAGAUGCGCAAGGCCUUUUCAACUACUUGAAGAGAAUGCAGUCGGAGAACUCUGGUUUUUUCUACUCCAUACAAGUUGACAGUAAGAACUGUGUUAGCAAUGCAGUUUGGGCUGAUGCUAGAGCCAGAAUGUCAUACACAUACUUUGGGGAUGCUGUUUAUUUUGACACUACUUAUAGUAAAAAUGAGAAUAUGUUACCCUUUGCAGCUUUCACGGGUGUGAAUCACCAUGGUGAUACUGUUCCUUUUGGUUGUGCACUUGUUUUGGAUAGGACAGAAUCUUCAUAUACCUGGCUAUUUGAGACAUGGCUGACAGCAGUGGGUAGACGGUUGCCGUUUUCCUUUACAACUGAUGAAGGCAAAGCAAUUGCAUCAGCAGUUGCAAAAGUAUUUCCUCAGUGUUUCCAUCGUCUUUGUAGAUGGCGAAUUUUGUCUAGAUGCAAGAAGAAGUUGUCUGACGACUACGUGAGAUUUCCCAAUCUCCAUGAUGAGCUCAGAAGAUGCAUCAACGAGUGUUAUACUGAGGUUGCUUUUGAUAUGUUCUGGGGUACUAUUCUUGACAAAUAUGGCCUGAGGGAGAACAGUUGGUUGCGAUCAAUAUUUGAAGCAAGACACAGAUGGGUUCCUGCAUACCUGACAACAAGCUCCUUCUUUGCAGAAUUGACAUUGACCCAGAGAGGAGAAACAAUCGGUAGGUUUUUUAGGAAUAACUUCAGCACAAGAGUUCCUCUCGAUGAAUUUACCACUAAAUUUGACCAACACAUAGACAAUUUGUAUGUACAUGAAACUCAGAAAGAUCUUGGUUCAUCUCAUCCGGAACAGAUCCUGAAAACCAAUAUAGCCUUGGAAAAACAAGCAAGGAGCAUCUACACCAAUGCCGUGUUUGAAAUAUUCCAAACGGAGUUGUUUGAAGCAUUGCAGCAUUAUGCUGUUAAGGUUCAUCAGGAUGGACCUUACUCCAAGUACUAUGUUGACAGAGAUGAUCCUCCAACAAGGCACACUGUUUUCUACAAUGUUGCCGAGAAGAAGGCUUGGUGCGAUUGCUGCAGGUACGCUUUCUCAGCAAUAUUGUGCAGGCAUGUGCUUGGAGUUUUCAUCUUAGCUGGAAUCAUGGUGCUUCCGGAGACAUGCAUCGCGAAGCGAUGGACAAAGAGGGCAAAGACUGGGCCAGAAUUAAUUGGGCAUAAUCUUGAGAAUGGAAAUUGCUACAUGGAUUCUUCAACUUCAAGGUAUAAUGAUCUCAUUCAUGAUGCUAUCAAAUGUGCAGAGAAGGGAGCUGUAUCAGCAGAUAACUUCAGAGUUGCAAAGGAAAUACUCCGCAAAGCCUUCAUGGAAAUCAAGUGUCUUGGAGAAAAACUGACUGACGAUGACCUGCAGCAGGUUGACAGUAGAUAGCAGUGGUUAUCUUGUGAAGCAUUUGAGAGAUUGUUCCAGAUAUCUUUUACUAAAGGAUGGAAAUGAGGCGUAAUUUUGCUGUGCCACCAUGAGUAAAAGCAUUUGAGAGAUUGUUCCAGGUAUCUUUUAUUAAAGGAUGGAAAUGAGAUGUAAUUUUGCUGUGCCACCAUGGGCAAGCCUACCCUGUACUGACAAUGACCAAUUAACAUAUUUAACCACUGUAAAUCUAAUCCUGAUGUAUGCUGUUAGCCUGUCUGUAGAAUGCUAAUCUGACUUGUGGGAGUCAGGACUGUAAAUGUUGACUCGUUUGCCUGUGUUCCUCUUGCUGCUAUUCAUGUCAUGAUAUCACAACUCACAAAAAGUUAUGUUGGACUCGCCAUGCUUGUAGGGUUUUUUCUUCAUAAAAAGAGUUACAGACAUCGUUUCUUGUUUAUUUUGAAAAUUGAUCCAUUUGGAGUAAGCCUUUGUUGUUAAAUAUACAAAGUUUAUUGCGUUCUUUAAUGAGAAUUCGAAAUUCGGAUGAAUUCCUUCAUGCAAAAUCUUGACAUAAACCAACACAUUAGACCUUUCGUCUUGUUUGUUCGUAAUAAGCUUUCUGGUAGUAUCUGCUACCUUCCGAUUCUAUGGCUACAAAACAAAAUUUACAAAGCCCCUAUCAUGUUUAAACACGACAAAAAGAAAAUCUCCUGGCUCAAAUUUUAACACGCCGCAGAAUUCACGAAAAUUCAAAAACCAAUAAAAAAUCGCAAAAAUCCAACGGGAAAAAGGAGACGCAGGAGGAAAGGGAGAGAGAGAGAGAACAAACGGCAUCAAUGGCGGCCACAUCCCUCCUCUCCCGCCUCCUCAUCCUCCCACCACCGGCGCCGGCCGCCGCCGCCUCUCUCCGGCAGCGGAAACCCGCCGCAGCGCACUCCCUAUCCUCCAGGGGGCGGAGGCCCCGCCUCGCGGUACAGGCGGUAGCCCCCGCGGCGGCGGAGGAGGAGAAGGGCGGGCUGCCGGCGGCGGAGGCGGAGAGGCUGGCGGAGUUCCUGCGGGAGGACCUCCCCCACCUGUUCGACGACGUCGGCGUCGACCGCUCGGCGUACGACGACCGCGUCCGCUUCCGCGACCCCAUCACCCGCCACGACACCAUCGACGGCUACCUCCUCAACAUCCGCCUCCUCAAGCUCCUCUUCCGUCCCGACUUCUACCUCCACCACGUCGAGCAGGUUGAGCUGCUACCCCGCACUGCAUUUCCCAAUUUCAAUCGUAACAGAUUUGCAGCGCAUUUUGCGAAGAACUCGUGACUGGAUGGGUGGUGGGGUUUUUAGACAGGGCCGUACGAGAUCACCACGAGGUGGACCAUGGUGAUGAAGUUCGUUCUACUGCCGUGGAAGCCGGAGCUGGUCUUCACUGGCCUCUCGAUCAUGGGCGUCAACCCUCAGAAUCUCAAGUUCUGUAGCCACGUGGUUAGCAUUCUUGCUUGACACUGCAGCUUUUGGAACAUUUGUUUCUUCGAAUUAAUGUACGUUAAGAUUUUCUUUUAUUGUUCAUGAAAUGAAUUAGUGGUAUUUUAAUCCCCUGAAUCAUAUGUAUGGAUCACGUCUUACAGAGUCUACUAUAUGUUAGAACCAUAGGUCUCCUGCUUGCGACAUUCGAGACCUCUGAGAUGAAGCAUAUAUAUUAAGCAUAUGCAGCUUAGAAGUUAAAGUCUUAAAAGAGUACGGUUUCUUUUAUCAAGAGCAUUAGUAAGCAGUCAGUCUGGAGUAAGAUUUCGAGAGAUGAGAUCAGGGAGUUCCUGACAAAGCUUUCAGACAAGCUUUAGUUGCAUACUUAUGUUUAGCUAUGUCAAAUAACUUUUUAUUGUUGCAAUUCUCCACCGGAUACAGUUCCUCCUAUAAUGCAAUGCUUCAUAGUCCUAAUUCAAUUUGAUACUAAAUUUUAGCUUUUCAGGAAGCUUGUGGGACUAUUUAUUGAUGGGCCGGCAAAACAAUACUUAGCUUCCAUAGUCCACACUUGAUAAAGUUUACAAUACUCUUAAUAAUUGCACUUGCUGUGAUGUGCCGUAGAGUUCCUGGUUCUUACUUAUUUGUUUUUUUCCCCCCGUUUAGUGUGCAUUUUUGUAAAUAGAAGAUUAAGGAUACUAUGCUUCCCAGCAGAGUGUUGGAGAGAUUUUGUACAUACAGAGAACUCCAACACACUAAAUAAGUUUACCCAAGUAAUCAUUAAAUAUUAUUAUAACUUCCCAAUAUGCUGAAGUGCAGGAUAUUUGGGACUCAAUACAGAAUAAUGAAUAUUUUUCUUUUGAAGGACUGGGGGAUGUCUUCAAGCAGGUCAUUUGUCAUGACUCUACAUUUUUCUUAUAAUUUGUCAAACAAAUGUUUGAGCUAGAUCUUUUGAUUCUGCACAGCUACGGAUUUACAAGACCCCUGAUAUAGAAACACCAAAGUACCUUAUCCUGAAAAGGACGGCAAACUAUGAGGUAUUAACUUUAGGAAUUCAUUUUAUAUCUGUUCUGAAGUAACAGCACUGCCAUAUUCUCAUGAUCCAUGCUUCAUAUGAAUUAACCAUACUGAUAAGUAUCCGAAUUAUUUUACUUGAUUUUUGCCAGUGUAUAAUCUUUGCUAAUGUGAUCUCUAUAGUAGUCAGAACUCAGAACAUCUAAUUUAUAGCUGUUACUUCUCUGCAGAAUGUUUAAGAUGAAAUCAUGAACAUAAAUUCUUUUUUGCAGAUUAGGAGUUAUCCACCAUUCUUAAUAGUUGAAGCAAAAGGAGAUAAACUAACCGGAUCAUCAGGUUUUAAUAAUGUAACUGGGUGAGUUAUUUUUCUGUUACAGUAGAUAUUUAACCCUGUAAUCCUAGUACUGAUUACUUAUAAGCGCUUGUAAAUGUAGGUAUAUUUUUGGCAAGAAUGCUUCUUCAGAAACGAUUGCAAUGACUACACCUGUCUUCACUCAGGCUUCUGAUGACAAACUCUCAGAUGUAUCCAUCCAGAUAGUUUUGCCGAUGAACAAAGACUUGGACAGGUCUAUCUUGUGCAAUGCAGGAUUUCAGUUACUGACAGUGCGGUUUAAAGCAUUGAUUUUGGACAGCUGUGCAAAAUUAAACUAAAAGUAGUCUUAUGGAUUUAUUUCUAUUACUAAUAGUAGUAAUCUUGUUCAAUCAGCUUACCAGCUCCAAACACGGAAGCUGUCAACUUGCGAAAGGUAGAAGGUGGCAUUGCUGCAGUGAAAAAAUUCAGUGGGAGACCAAAAGAGGAAAUUGUGAUCCAGAAAGAAAAGGAGCUGCGCUCCCAAUUACUCAAAGAUGUGUUGAAGCCUCAACAUGGUUGUUUGCUUGCACGCUACAAUGAUCCUAGAACACAGAGCUUUAUAAUGGUAUGUUUCCUUUUGGGCUGUCCCUUAUUGUUUAAGCUGACAUGUGAUUUUUUUGAUGUACUUCACUAUAAUGAUCCUAAGACUAACUAAUGAGGUUUAUUUUAUGAUUAAGUGUUGGAAAGUUGAUAUUUUAUCAUCAUGCUUCCUUUCCCAAAAUUCCAGUUCAUUCUUUUUUCAGUUUUACAUUUCCAGUUCCUUUUUUUCAGUUUUACAUUCAUUGUUAUCUUUUUUAAUUCGGAAACUCUCUUAUGUUCUUCCUUAUCAAAAGAGGAAUGAGGUGCUGAUAUGGUUAAACGACUUCACGCUGGAGUAGUAGUCUUCACUGUCUACAACACAUUUCUGCAACAUAUAGACACUUAGCAUUGGAGCUUUCGGAGCAUCAUAGCAAGGUAAAGUAAUUGUUCAUAAAGCAUUUUGCGUGGUUUGGUAGUAUUUUAAAGCUGCAUGUUAUUUCCUCUAAAAAAGCUUUGUAUUCUACAUGUAAAAAAAAUGUAGAAACAAUUUAUGUAUCUAAAUGUAUCGUGCAACUUAGUUAUUCCCAUAGAUCCGUCAUGCCUUUUGUCAUCCAUGUUUUAAUUUUUUGCAUUAUGCUCACUUAGCUUUUGCAUUAUGCAGGUGAAAAAAAUUAGGAAGAUGCAUGGAUGAAAUGAUAGGAGAAUGUAAAUACCGAAAAGGUCACUAUAUUACAUGGUAAUUCUAGUCCAUAUGAAAAAUGUUUGUGUAUAACAAAAGUGAAAUGAACAAAAUGAAACUGUUUAGAACAAAAGGAAUAACCCCCACCUAGCCACCCUCAUUCCCAGUGACAUGCCUGGCUGUAACACGUCUCUUCUGUCUUUCUUCCUCUUCCCCACAUCUCCAAGUAACAUAAGAUGAUAAGAACAUACAGAAUAGGCCAGGGUUUGAAGAUCCGUCAGUUAAGAUCCUUACUAGGAUUCUUUCAUGUCACACCAAGUGACCAAACAACACAUCUUAAAGCAUUGCCUCCAACUUUGACCCCCCCCCCUUUUUUUUUGCGGGGACAACUUUGACACCCUUUGUUGGAACAACCGGUUACUUCAGACCACUUGGGUUAGUGUUGAGUUGGAGUACUUCGAACUAUCUAUGGAGUAUUAGGAGUUAAAAUUUGGAUAUUCGUAGACGAAGAAUAACCAACCCUGUCUUCCCAUUCUGUUCAGUAAUAGAAUAAAAAAUGACAAGAGCCUUAUUUUCCCUAAAAUCCCUGAAAAAAAGAAGAAAUUCUACCUCUUUCUAUAAGAUUUAAUGAAAAUUGAGAAAUCUUUUAAUAAAAUUGCUAUGCUUAGUGUGUGACUCGUUAGUUUUUUUUAGGGUUCAAAAAGGGGAUAAAAAAAAUAGAAUGAACCCUACUAUGUAAUUAUAGAAAAUGAACUAAUAACCAACCUAUUGCUUCGUAUUGUUGAGAUCCUAACUAAGAAACAGUCACUAUAUGAAUAAAUACAUCUAUCAUAAAUGAGUAAAUCUAUCAUAUACGUGUAGCAACUGCAAUUUUUUCUUUAAAAAAAUAGGAUUCUAAGUUGUGAAGCAAAACUAAAGGGGAUGUAGAUAAAAGGAAGGAUGAUAGAAAGAAGGAAGAGAAAUAAGAAAGAUAUAGGAUUCCAAUAUGUAUGGUCUAUGAAUUACAUCAUAAAAAGCAAUGUGAUAAAGCAUCAAUAUAAUAAAAAUAACAGAGAAUUCGAAAUCGUAAUUUGAUUGAAACGAGAAAUACAAAUUUCAAGGAAUAACAAAGAGCGUCCCGAGUUAAUAAAAGUGAGAAAUUGACUCGGAAAGAAAUUUUUUGGAAGCUCCAUUGCGAGAUUCAAACCUAACCAUUAAAGGAGAAGCAGUGGGAACGACAGAACCUAUUACUGGAUAGGAUUUUCUUGAAAAGAAUCCCAAUACUUCAUUGGGUGGGAUGGCGGAACAAACCAAAAAAAUUGUCUUAUUCGAUAAGGUUAUGAAUUAACAAAUAAGACAGGAAAGAGUAAAUAUUCGCCCGCGAAAUUUUUAUUGAAUUAGAAUACUUUACCGCGAUUCAAUAAGAGUAAAAUAAAAAAAAGGAGAUAAAAAAAAGAAUUACAUUAAAUAUAGAAUAUAGAUAAAUAAACAUACACAUCUAGAUAUAUUCUAGAUCCUCUUUCUUGACUAUAUAUUUUAGUAUUUUAAUAAAUUCAAUAUUAAAAACCCUAACCUUUCCUAUUAAUGUGUAUCUAUCCGUAAUAUUUUAGAAUAUUGUGGAAUUAGAGAAAUUUGCACACAUUUGAUUCGCGAGGAGCUGGAUGAGAAGAAACUCUCAUGUCCAGUUUUGCAGUAGAGAUGGAACUAAGAGAGAACCAUCGACUAAAACCCCAAAAGAACCAGAUUUCGUAAACAACAUAGAGGAAGAAUGAAGGGAAAAUCCUACCGAGGCAAUUGUAUUUGUUUUGGUAGAUAUGCUCUUCAAGCACUUGAACCCACUUGGAUUACGGCGAGGCAGAUAGAAGCAGGACGAAGAGCAAUGACACGAUAUGCACGUCGUGGUGGAAAAAUCUGGGUACGUAUAUUUCCCGACAAACCGGUUACAAUAAGACCGACCGAAACACGUAUGGGUUCGGGAAAGGGAUCCCCCGAAUAUUGGGUAGCCGUUGUUAAACCAGGUCGAAUACUUUAUGAAAUGGGCGGAGUAUCCGAAACUGUAGCUAGAGCAGCUAUUUCCAUAGCUGCCAGCAAAAUGCCCAUACGAAGUCAAUUUCUUCGGUUAGAAAUAUAACCCCCCCAAAAAAGUAGUAUUGAAAAUAAAAAACCAGGUUCUUCUUUCUGGAAAGACAAUAUUUCUUUCAUCCUUUUGCAUUGAAAUAACAAAUUGAAAUCAAAAUAAUAUGAUUCAACCUCAGACCCUUUUAAAUGUAGCAGAUAACAGUGGAGCUCGAAAAUUGAUGUGUAUUCGAGUCAUAGGAGCUGCUAGUAAUCAGCGAUAUGCUCGUAUUGGUGAUGUUAUUGUUGCUGUAAUCAAAGACGCAGUGCCCCAAAUGCCUCUAGAAAGAUCCGAAGUAAUUCGAGCUGUAAUUGUACGUACAUGUAAAGAGUUCAAAUGCGAAGACGGUAUAAUAAUACGCUAUGACGACAAUGCAGCGGUUAUCAUUGAUCAAAAAGGAAAUCCAAAAGGAACUCACGUUUUUGGCACGAUCGCCGAGGAAUUGAGAGAAUUGAAUUUUACUAAAAUAGUUUCAUUAGCUCCUGAAGUAUUAUAAAUACUAGUAGACAAGAUAUAGAUCAAAUAAAAAAUUAGUAGAUUGUGUUUCACGUAUAUGCUUUAGAAUCCAAAACGAAAAGAAAAAAGAGAACAUGUUGAUUAUAGAAAAAUUAGGAGGAACCUAGAAUUAGAGUCUUAUGGGCAAGGACACUAUUGCUGAUUUACUAACCUCUAUAAGAAACGCGGACAUGAAUAAAAAAGGAACUGUUCGGGUAGUAUCUACAAAUAUUACCAAAAACAUUGUUAAAAUACUUCUACGAGAGGGUUUUAUUGAAAGUGUUCGGAAACAUCAGGAAAGUAAUAGAUAUUUCUUGGUUUCAACUUUGCGACAUCAAAAGAGAAAGACUAGAAAGGGAAUAUAUAGAACUAGAACCUUUUUAAAGCGUAUCAGCCGACCUAGCUUACGAAUUUAUGCCAACUAUCAAGGAAUUCCUAAGGUUUUGGGCGGAAUGGGAAUUGCUAUUCUUUCUACUUCUCGAGGUAUAAUGACAGAUCGAGAAGCUCGACUAAACAGAAUUGGGGGAGAAGUUUUAUGUUAUAUAUGGUAAUCGCCCCGCCUAUAGCGGUAAUCGCCCCACCUAUAGUUAUAGUACCCAAAUUCUAUCUUGAACUUCCUAUUUUUCAAACAAAAAUACAACGUUUUUUAUUUGAAAAUAAAAAAAGAAAAAUAGGAGAAAAAAAUAUGACAGAAAAGAAAAAUAGGAGAGAAAAAAAAACCCGAGAGAAGCAAAAAUUACUUUCGAGGGUUUAGUUAUGGAAGCCCUACCCAACGGA